GACGAACGCUGGCGGCGUGCUUAACACAUGCAAGUCGAACGGAAAGGCCCUGCUUUUGUGGGGUGCUCGAGUGGCGAACGGGUGAGUAACACGUGAGUAACCUGCCCUUGACUUUGGGAUAACUUCAGGAAACUGGGGCUAAUACCGGAUAGGAGCUCCUGCUGCAUGGUGGGGGUCGGAAAGCUUCGGCGGUUGGGGAUGGACUCCCGGCUUAUCAGCUUGUUGGUGGGGUAGUGGCUUACCAAGUCUUUGACGGGUAGCCGGCCUGAGAGGGUGACCGGCCACAUUGGUACUGAGAGACGGCCCAGACUCCUACGGGAGGCAGCAGUGGGAAAUAUUGCACAAUGGGCGGAAGCCUGAUGCAGCAACGCCGCGUGCGGGAUGACGGCCUUCGGGUUGUAAACCGCUUUCGCCUGUGACGAAGCGUGAGUGACGGUAAUGGGUAAAGAAGCACCGGCUAACUACGUG
rnacentral:rRNA from 1 species